AUCGCGCUUGGCACAUUUUCUUUCCGGACACAUCCAGUGGAUACUGUGCAGGCCUUCUCCAGCUAAUCUCAGGAAGGCUGAAAUUUUUAGACGGCCACCCUUCAUAUUUAGGGAGAGAAUAUAACCAUGUAGAAAGUCUAGUCUGUAUGUGGAAUAUCUGUUAGGAAGAAAUUCUACUUGGAAAGCUUGUCUGCUCUAUUAACCCAUCCCUGUUGCUCCCUUGAAAGAGGAGGGCCUUCACUGUCCACUGUAAGAUGAAGGUCUUCUGUGGCUCUGACGGCUUAUGUUUAGAGACCUUUCUUCAGUGUCCCCAAGGAGUUUCUAGAGGGGCAAUUCAUGAGAGAUAGACUCCGUAACUUGAGUCCGCAAAUUUCAAAAUGUGGAAAAAGCAUUUUAUCAAUGCCAUAGGAAGAGACUGCUUUUACCUAAGAAGAAAGCUUUCAUGGUAUUUGUCAAAUACCAGAACAGCGAGGGUACAGCUGUUUCUAACAGUUCCUUAUGAAUCUUUUGCAUGGUACUGUACACACUUGGACCAGUGACUACUUAAGAUGAAAUGCAACCCAGUGGAAUGCAUCUGAGAAAGAAAGAUAGCAAUGAGUACUUGAGGAUGCCUGCUACUAAUGUGCCAUGGACCCUCUAGUGCAAUGACAAAAGUGAAAACAUAAAAUGUCGACCUCUGUACCAAUGUGUGGUUAGCGCCGGCACAGCA
rnacentral:lncRNA from 1 species